GACGAACGCUGGCGGCGUGCUUAACACAUGCAAGUCGAACGGAAAGGCCCUGCUUUUGUGGGGUGCUCGAGUGGCGAACGGGUGAGUAACACGUGAGUAACCUGCCCUUGACUUUGGGAUAACUUCAGGAAACUGGGGCUAAUACCGGAUAGGAGCUCCUGCUGCAUGGUGGGGGUUGGAAAGUUUCGGCGGUUGGGGAUGGACUCGCGGCUUAUCAGCUUGUUGGUGGGGUAGUGGCUUACCAAGGCUUUGACGGGUAGCCGGCCGGAGAGGGUGACCGGCCACAUUGGGACUGAGAUACGGACCAGACUCCUACGGGAGGCAGCAGUGGGGAAUAUUGCACAAUGGGCGGAAGCCUGAUGCAGCAACGCCGCGUGCGGGAUGACGGCCUUCGGGUUGUAAACCGCUUUCGCCUGUGACGAAGCGUGAGUGACGGUAAUGGGUAAAGAAGCACCGGCUAACUACGUG
rnacentral:rRNA from 1 species